GUUGGAAUGGUAUGUUUUAAAGAUGUAGGCAUGCACAUGGCUUCCAGAAGCUGAAAAGGGCAGUAAAAUAGUCUUGCCUCUAAGAGUCUCCAGAAAGGAACAUGGACCUGCCAACAUGUUGAUUUUAGCUUGAGGAGGAGCCACAGCCCUUGCUGGUCAUGCAGGCUUCCCUCAGGCCUGCAGUGACCCAGACAGCACACCCUGAAGACCUCAGCCAAAGGUCAUUCCAUCCCUUGCCAUGGUGGUCCUGGGGCUCUCAGGUUUAUCUUCUCAGCUCACCUUCUCCAUCUCCUCUGAGGCCUGUGGGAAAUUCUGGAGUCCCCAGGCCUCUGGAGAGCCAGAGAGGCCAUGAAAGGAGAAGCUGGCCCAGGCCUUCUUUCUGAGACCCAUCACACCAAGGUUUUCUAGGCAGCCGGGAGAUGAGCAGUUUCCUGUGCCGCACACUGCCCAUCAUGACGCACUGCCACACCAUGGGCCCAAAGGAAACAGGGCCAAGUCAACAUGCACUGACACUUCUGAACCC
rnacentral:lncRNA from 1 species